rnacentral:rRNA from 1 species
UGUCCGGAAUUAUUGGGCGUAAAGCGCGCGCAGGUGGUUCCUUAAGUCUGAUGUGAAAGCCCACGGCUCAACCGUGGAGGGUCAUUGGAAACUGGGGAACUUGAGUGCAGAAGAGGAAAGUGGAAUUCCAAGUGUAGCGGUGAAAUGCGUAGAGAUUUGGAGGAACACCAGUGGCGAAGGCGACUUUCUGGUCUGUAACUGACACUGAGGCGCGAAAGCGUGGGGAGCAAACAAGAUUAGAUACCCUGGUAGUCCACGCCGUAAACGAUGAGUGCUAAGUGUUAGAGGGUUUCCGCCCUUUAGUGCUGCAGCUAACGCAUUAAGCACUCCGCCUGGGGAGUACGGCCGCAAGGCUGAAACUCAAAGGAAUUGACGGGGGCCCGCUCAAGCGGUGGAGCAUGUGGUAUAAUUCGAAGCAACGCGAAGAACCUUACCAGGUCUUGACAUCCUCUGACAACCCUAGAGAUAGGGCUUUCCCCUUCGGGGGACAGAGUGACAGGUGGUGCAUGGUUGUCGUCAGCUCGUGUCGUGAGAUGUUGGGUUAAGUCCCGCAACGAGCGCAACCCUUGAUCUUAGUUGCCAGCAUUCAGUUGGGCACUCUAAGGUGACUGCCGGUGACAAACCGGAGGAAGGUGGGGAUGACGUCAAAUCAUCAUGCCCCUUAUGACCUGGGCUACACACGUGCUACAAUGGAUGGUACAAAGGGCUGCAAACCUGCGAAGGUAAGCGAAUCCCAUAAAGCCAUUCUCAGUUCGGAUUGUAGGCUGCAACUCGCCUACAUGAAGCCGGAAUCGCUAGUAAUCGCGGAUCAGCAUGCCGCGGUGAAUACGUUCCCGGGCCUUGUACACACCGCCCGUCACACCACGAGAGUUUGUAACACCCGAAGUCGGUGAGGUAACCUUUAUGGAGCCAGCCGCU